rnacentral:misc_RNA from 1 species
CUCAAAACUAAAAAAUGGUGAGUGGCUACUGGCUUCAGGUCUUUUAUGACUACAAAUUCAUUGCUCUGAAAUAAUGCACUCAUGCAAAUUUAUCUGUCAUUCAAAAACGGUCGGGCCAUUAUUCGUAAUUGUAGGAGUGUAUGUGCGUGUGCCAAGUACAUUCCUUCCCUACCCACCGACACUAUCAGCCGGCUCGUUUUUUUCGCUCGGCGGGAGUCUAUAAGCGGUUGCCGUCCGCGGAAUAUUGUACCGAGACAUAAGGUGAUUUUGAACGUUUUCUCUCCAUCACCUAUAAGCUAACUAAUUAUCAUUUUCAUCAUCUUCGACGACAACUAAACACCGGUGCACGACAAUUGGAUUCCCUCGAAC